GAAAGAGAAUAGAAGACUUGUAUAGAGUAAAAGACUGGUAUAAACUCAGAACAAAGUUAAUUCCCUUAUCUUCUAAGGUGACAGCCUGCUGAAAAAGAUGUUAUGUAUUCUACAAAAUAUUGAAUAAUCAUGCUCCCAAGGUGAAGUGGUGGAAUUCCCUGCAAGACCCUGAUGCCUGCUGGCUGGCAUGAGAAGGACCUACACAUCUGGGAAAUGGAGUUCCAGGUUCAAUUGCUCUCCACUUUAAAGGAUGGCUGUAUUUCUAAGUGCCUUCCAGGGACUUUUGUGAACAGGAACAGUACAUUGUCCCUCCAGGAUGGAGGGAGUUGUGUUCCUGCCCUGUGACCAUCUCCAAGCCACGUGGCCAGAGAUUAAAAACUACAUGUGCAAGACUAUGGAUGCAUCUAUAAAGAAACAGGAAAAACAAGACCCAUAUGCACAUUCAGAGCAUGAGAAAGGCCCAAGAUGCCUUAACUUCCUACAUGAUCUUAAUUUUCACAAAAAUGUCUCAUUUUGUUCCAAAAACACCCAUUUCAAUAUGAACGCAAAUAAUUCAACUGCCCUUCUGCUGUAGAUUGAAUUGGCUUAAAAGAUAUGUUGCCUUUUGCAUGGACAUAGCUGAGACUGUGCUUCAGUUCUCUGGCUAUUUUUACACUGCCUGUCCUUCAGAAAAGAAGAUCUGACACAGCACAGAAUAUAUAAAAAAGAAGGGUAACAUAGGAUCCAAGUGUAUUAAAUAAAUAAAUACUCUUUGUAGGAGACA
rnacentral:lncRNA from 1 species